rnacentral:pre_miRNA from 1 species
AGUACAAUUACUGGGUCAUAUGGUAGUUGACUGUUUAGUUUUUUUUUUUUUUUAAGCAACUGCCAAACUCUUUUCCAGAAUGAUUCUACCAUUUUGUAUUCCCACUAGUAAU